UUUCAUGUAUGUUAACUACUGAUCUCGCUGUAAUGGGUCAUCCUCAGUCAUCAUGGAUUGUACUAUGGAAAAAAGCAAGAAAAAUCUUUUUACCAUCAAAUGCAGUGAAUAGAGAUAGAUGAUAUUAUAGAGUUUCAUGUAUGGCUGUGAUGCAACAUAGUGCAAUUCAGAGUGGCGUCUCAGACUCUCAGCGGAUCCAAAAAUCAAGUACGCCCCAUAUAUAGUGCAUGCGAAAGAGAGGAGAGUGAUCAGGUACUACGGACCUAACUGUGAUUUUUAAUAUAAGGUAAUUAUGAUAGAAUAGGGCCAACGAUUAGUUAUAAUGUUGGGUGGUAAUGGCAUUUGAUGUAAAUAUUCUAGUGAAGAAAAGGUAAUUUCAUUUGUAGGCUGAGAA